UUAUUCAGCAUUCUCACUAGUAACAUACGACCCUUUCGCCUUUUACUAAAGAGUCAUGUGUUGAGAAUGUAUUUUGAAAUAAAUCAAUUUUUGAGGGAGAUUCGUCGCCCA